GACGAACGCUGGCGGCGUGCUUAACACAUGCAAGUCGAACGGAAAGGCCCUGCUUUUGUGGGGUGCUCGAGUGGCGAACGGGUGAGUAACACGUGAGUAACCUGCCCUUGACUUUGGGAUAACUUCAGGAAACUGGGGCUAAUACCGGAUAGGAGCUCCUGCUGCAUGGUGGGGGUUGGAAAGUUUCGGCGGUUGGGGAUGGACUGGCGGCUUACCAGCUUGUUGGUGGGGUAGUGGCUUACCAAGGCUUUGACGGGUAGCCGGCCUGGGAGGGUGAACGGCCACAAUGGGACUGAGAUACGGCCCAGACGCCUACGGGAGGCAGCAGUGGGGAAUAUUGCACAAUGGGCGGAAGCCUGAUGCAGCAACGCCGCGUGCGGGAUGACGGCCUUCGGGUUGUAAACCGCUUUCGCCUGUGACGAAGCGUGAGUGACGGUAAUGGGUAAAGAAGCACCGGCUAACUACGUG
rnacentral:rRNA from 1 species